AUCCACUGGGAGUCCUUUUGCGUUUCAGAUGCUCCCAGGCUCUCCCGCAGUUUAAAGACUUAACUCAGCGGCUUUCAGGGCCUGUGGUUGAGGGACUCCGAAAGAACUGUUGCUGGUGGACCGGUUCAGGGUCUUGACUUCGCCACACAAAAGAACUUGAGAGCACGUCCAAAGUAAAGCUAAGACCUCUAGUACAGUGUUCAAUGGAACUGGUGAGAAAAGACGUCCUUGCUGUGUUCCUGAUAUGAAGAGGAAAGCAGUCCUUCUCCAUUAAGUAAAAUGCUGACAACAUGAGCCUCCCGUGGUCGGAACGGGCUUGUGAAGGCGGUGCUGGGGUGCACCAGGGCAGCAGCUACAGCUACAACUCAAAUCCCAGGAACACAGGAUUGCAGUGACCUACAUAAUUUGGGCUCAAAUACCUUCAAGGCAUUCCGAAGAGACAGAGAACACCAGAACAAGGGAGAAUUGGAGUGGAGGUGGAUGCUGAAAUUCCAGUAUAAAAAUCUACUCUGGCUGAGGAAUAAGACAAAAUGGUCAAGCCUGAGACACCUGAAGCCCUGGACUUGGAAUCUGAAGCUGUCAUCAGCCAGUACACCUAUGAACCUGUGGAAGACCUGAAGUACCUGUUUAAAAGACAGCCAAAAGAUAAGUAAAUACUUCCCAAAUUUC
rnacentral:lncRNA from 1 species